CGGGUGUAGAAUGACAUGAGGUGAGUAAUAAAUGUCAUUAUUUUAAUUUUUGGGUGAACUAACCCUUUAACAGAUUCAUUGAGUCGAAUUGUUUGAAGGAACCGGAUCCCACAAAUGAAUCAGACUUUCAAUCUAGAAGUGAAUCGGACUCAAUGAACCGUUCCAAAUAACCGUUACUGAUGUCAAUCACUUUUUAUGUAAUCGCAUAGCCGUGAAUAUCACCUGUAACCAUUGUUGUGGUGGCAGUGACUGAUGUAAAUAUCAAAAAUGUUACGUCAAUAUCACUGGAAAGUUGACGCAACAAGAGUUCAGUUGAACUGGGAGCUUAUCCAUCAACCGACAGCGGUGGAGAAUCGCGCGCCGUUGACGUCAGAAACUGGAUCUAAACCGUCAGUUGACACACGACGUCUAUCCCCGUCUAUCAGGAGAAAGAAACUCGUACAGGUUUGGAACAACUUGAGGACUGCACCUGUUCCCGUUCACCCUGGAGCCAGUCACACCAGUCUUCAUUAGCACAGCUGCUGCCGCCCCUCAGCCCACAAGACAGGAAGUCAGAUUAGAUACGGAAUGUCACCUUGCCCAUAUCAAGCGCUGGCCACCAGAAUAAGACACAUGACACAUGAUCAUGCUGGUGAUUUACAUCAGUGAACUGCCGUUUCUAUGGAAACAAAGAGCAAGAGGCCGGCCUGGGUUUGAUGGAGCGCUGUCAGACAGCGAGGGGGAGGUCGGAUCGUGUGUGUGUGCUUGUGUGUGGCCCAGAGGGAUCCUGAGGAUUGUGCUCUAUAGAAACAGUAAAACUCCAGAAGAAGCCGUGCUUCAUCAAGCUGGUUCUCCUUUAGCACCUCCAUCUUGCUCACAACCUCCUAUGCAGCAUUAUCAUCCAUCAGCCUGAACAGAUGAAGCCGUAUUAAACGUGACAUUCAUUACCUCCUGCUGUAGUAUGUGCAGCACCAUCUCUGCAGUGUGUCAUCUCUUCCAGAGUUUUCUCAUCCCUCACAUCCGUGCAUGUGCCGAGCGUUGCCACAGAAACCCACAGCGAACGAUGCGAAGCUGCUACCUCAUUUCCUGCCAUGUAGAAGACUGGCAGCUCAGAGCUGGUGCUGCCCGCUGUGCCAACAUUGUUACUAGUCAUUAAGAGAACACCUAGCAACCGCAUAGCAGUGCCAUGGCAACCUCCAACAACACCCUACAUCACGCCGAACCUUUCAGCGUUUGUCUGUAAACAGUUCGCUGGAAUUGUGGUCUGUUUGAGCACCAAACGUUGCAGAAACAGGAUGUGGUCGACAAAUUAACUGAAAUCUGCCAUUAAGUCCUUCACAGCAGCCCUUCACAGACCCACAAUCCUGCUGUGCUCAGCUCUGGUGUCGUGAGGAACAGCGGUUUAACAGUGGAGACGCUGUUUCAGUCCUAAUUGCCUUUCAAAUGGGGCUGCACAUGCAUGAAGGGCAGAGAAACAUUCACGAGAGGAGAACAGCGAGACUUUAAACUCACGUGUGACUGGUGCAUGAUGGGAAAUGACUGACAGGGGUCAAUCAGCCGUAAAAAACAGGUAUUUCAUUAUUACAUACUGAUGUUAAUUCAUCAGGGAUCUUCCUAUCCAAGACUGAAGCGGUGCUGUAGGCCACACAGGCGUCCUCUAAAGACGCAUCAUCUCUGUUUCCCAUGAUGCAGCAAAUGACACGUCUGAAUUAUUUCUCAUGUGA